rnacentral:rRNA from 1 species
GGGGAAUAUUGGACAAUGGGCGAAAGCCUGAUCCAGCCAUGCCGCGUGUGUGAAGAAGGUCUUCGGAUUGUAAAGCACUUUAAGUUGGGAGGAAGGGUUUCUGGCUAAUAUCCAGGAAUUUUGACGUUACCGACAGAAUAAGCACCGGCUAACUUCGUUCCAGCAGCCGCGGUAAUACGAAGGGUGCAAGCGUUAAUCGGAAUUACUGGGCGUAAAGCGCGCGUAGGUGGUUCGUUAAGUUGGAUGUGAAAGCCCCGGGCUCAACCUGGGAACUGCCUUUGAUACUGGAAGUCUUGAGUAUGGUAGAGGUGAGUGGAAUUCCGAGUGUAGAGGUGAAAUUCGUAGAUAUUCGGAGGAACACCAGUGGCGAAGGCGGCUCACUGGACCAUUACUGACGCUGAGGUGCGAAAGCGUGGGGAGCAAACA